rnacentral:rRNA from 1 species
UACGAAGGGGGCUAGCGUUGCUCGGAAUCACUGGGCGUAAAGGGUGCGUAGGCGGGUCUUAAGUCAGGGGUGAAAUCCUGGAGCUCAACUCCAGAACUGCCUUUGAUACUGAGGAUCUUGAGUUCGGGAGAGGUGAGUGGAACUGCGAGUGUAGAGGUGAAAUUCGUAGAUAUUCGCAAGAACACCAGUGGCGAAGGCGGCUCACUGGCCCGGAACUGACGCUGAGGUGCGAAAGCGUGGGGAGCAAACAGG